UACGUAGGGGGCCAGCGUUGUUCGGAAUUACUGGGUGUAAAGGGUUCGUAGGCGGUGCGGCAAGUUCGGGAGUGAAAUCUCUGGGCUCAACCCAGAGGCUGCUUCCGAAACUGCUGUGCUUGAGUGUGGGAGAGGCGCGUGGAAUUGCAGGUGUAGCGGUGAAAUGCGUAGAUAUCUGCAGGAACACCCGUGGCGAAAGCGGCGCGCUGGACCACUACUGACGCUGAAGAACGAAAGCUAGGGGAGCAAACAGG
rnacentral:rRNA from 1 species